rnacentral:rRNA from 1 species
UACGUAGGGUGCAAGCGUUGUCCGGAAUUAUUGGGCGUAAAGAGCUCGUAGGCGGUCUGUCACGUCGGCUGUGAAAACCUGGGGCUCAACUCCGGGCCUGCAGCCGAUACGGGCAGACUAGAGUUCGGCAGGGGAGACUGGAAUUCCUGGUGUAGCGGUGAAAUGCGCAGAUAUCAGGAGGAACACCGGUGGCGAAGGCGAGUCUCUGGGCCGAAACUGACGCUGAGGAGCGAAAGCGUGGGGAGCAAACAGG